rnacentral:rRNA from 1 species
UGGGGAAUAUUGCACAAUGGGGGAAACCCUGAUGCAGCGACGCCGCGUGAACGAAGAAGGUAUUCGUAUCGUAAAGUUCUGUCCUAUGGGAAGAUAAUGACAGUACCAUAGAAGAAAGCUCCGGCUAAAUACGUGCCAGCAGCCGCGGUAAUACGUAUGGAGCGAGCGUUGUCCGGAAUUAUUGGGCGUAAAGGGUACGCAGGCGGUUUAAUAAGUCGAAUGUUAAAGAUCGGGGCUCAACCCCGUAAAGCAUUGGAAACUGAUAAACUUGAGUAGUGGAGAGGAAAGUGGAAUUCUUAGUGUAGUGGUGAAAUACGUAGAUAUUAGGAGGAAUACCAGUAGCGAAGGCGACUUUCUGGACACAAACUGACGCUGAGGUACGAAAGCGUGGGGAGCAAACAGG